AACGAACGCUGGCGGCAGGCCUAACACAUGCAAGUCGAACGCCCCGCAAGGGGAGUGGCAGACGGGUGAGUAACGCGUGGGAACCUUCCCUGUGGUGCGGAAUAACUCGCCGAAAGGCGAGCUAAUACCGCAUAAGCCCGAAAGGGGAAAGAUUUAUCGCCAUAGGAUGGGCCCGCGUAGGAUUAGCUAGUUGGUGAGGUAAUGGCUCACCAAGGCUGCGAUCCUUAGCUGGUUUGAGAGAAUGACCAGCCACACUGGGACUGAGACACGGCCCAGACUCCUACGGGAGGCAGCAGUGGGGAAUCUUGGACAAUGGGCGCAAGCCUGAUCCAGCCAUGCCGCGUGAGUGACGAAGGCCUU
rnacentral:rRNA from 1 species